rnacentral:rRNA from 1 species
AUGAACGCUAGCGACAGGCUUAACACAUGCAAGUCGAGGGGCAGCACAGGUAGCAAUACCGGGUGGCGACCGGCGCACGGGUGAGUAACGCGUAUGCAACUUACCUAUCAGAGGGGGAUAACCCGGCGAAAGUCGGACUAAUACCGCAUGAAGCAGGGGCCCCGCAUGGGGAUAUUUGCUAAAGAUUCAUCGCUGAUAGAUAGGCAUGCGUUCCAUUAGGCAGUUGGCGGGGUAACGGCCCACCAAACCGACGAUGGAUAGGGGUUCUGAGAGGAAGGUCCCCCACAUUGGUACUGAGACACGGACCAAACUCCUACGGGAGGCAGCAGUGAGGAAUAUUGGUCAAUGGGCGUAAGCCUGAACCAGCCAAGUCGCGUGAGGGAUGAAGGUUCUAUGGAUCGUAAACCUCUUUUAUAAGGGAAUAAAGUGCGGGACGUGUCCCGUUUUGUAUGUACCUUAUGAAUAAGGAUCGGCUAACUCCGUGCCAGCAGCCGCGGUAAUACGGAGGAUCCGAGCGUUAUCCGGAUUUAUUGGGUUUAAAGGGUGCGUAGGCGGCCUUUUAAGUCAGCGGUGAAAGUCUGUGGCUCAACCAUAGAAUUGCCGUUGAAACUGGGGGGCUUGAGUAUGUUUGAGGCAGGCGGAAUGCGUGGUGUAGCGGUGAAAUGCAUAGAUAUCACGCAGAACCCCGAUUGCGAAGGCAGCCUGCCAAGCCAUUACUGACGCUGAUGCACGAAAGCGUGGGGAUCAAACAGGAUUAGAUACCCUGGUAGUCCACGCAGUAAACGAUGAUCACUAGCUGUUUGCGAUACACUGUAAGCGGCACAGCGAAAGCGUUAAGUGAUCCACCUGGGGAGUACGCCGGCAACGGUGAAACUCAAAGGAAUUGACGGGGGCCCGCACAAGCGGAGGAACAUGUGGUUUAAUUCGAUGAUACGCGAGGAACCUUACCCGGGUUUGAACGCAUUCGGACCGAGGUGGAAACACCUUUUCUAGCAAUAGCCGUUUGCGAGGUGCUGCAUGGUUGUCGUCAGCUCGUGCCGUGAGGUGUCGGCUUAAGUGCCAUAACGAGCGCAACCCUUGCCACUAGUUACUAACAGGUGAUGCUGAGGACUCUGGUGGGACUGCCAGCGUAAGCUGCGAGGAAGGCGGGGAUGACGUCAAAUCAGCACGGCCCUUACAUCCGGGGCGACACACGUGUUACAAUGGCGUGGACAAAGGGAGGCCACCUGGCGACAGGGAGCGAAUCCCCAAACCACGUCUCAGUUCGGAUCGGAGUCUGCAACCCGACUCCGUGAAGCUGGAUUCGCUAGUAAUCGCGCAUCAGCCAUGGCGCGGUGAAUACGUUCCCGGGCCUUGUACACACCGCCCGUCAAGCCAUGGGAGCCGGGGGUACCUGAAGUCCGUAACCGAAAGGAUCGGCCUAGGGUAAAACUGGUGACUGGGGCU